AUCAAUAAGCGGAGGAAAAGAAACUAACCAGGAUUCCCCCAGUAACGGCGAGCGAAGCGGGAACAGCUCGAGCAGGCAAUCUCUGGUGUCGAUCGCCAGCGAAUUGUGGCCGGCAGAGGCGGGUGCACCCGAAGCGACUCCGUCGAAGUUGACCUGGAAAGGCACGUCGGAGAGGGUGAUAGCCCCGUGUGGGGCGGAGUCGCCGAGGGCCGCUACCGUCUUCGGAGAGUCGGGUUGUUUGGGAGUGCAGCCCAAAGUGGGUGGUAAACUCCAUCUAAAGCCAAAUAGCGGCACGAGACCGAUAGCGAACAAGUACCAUGAGGGAAAGGUGAAAAGCACUUUGGAAAGAGAGUUAAAGAGGCCGCGAAACCGUUGGGAGGGAAACGCAUGCAGCCGGACCGGCCCGCGUCGAGUUCAGGGGGCUGCCGGAGGUCGCGCGUACGGUCGACACCGUCUCGGGUCGACCGCGCGUCCCGGCAUUCGGCACCCCUGCACUCUCGGCGUCUCGGGCCGGCCAAGCGCGGCGGGCAUCGGGCGAUGAGCGCGCGUCGGGCAGGUAGCGCAGCCGCCUGGCGGAGGCGAACUUAUAGCCGACCGCGCGGAGCGUCCGAAGCCCGCCGAGGAGAGCGGUGGCACUUCCACCCCAGCAGCGCAGGCCGCUUCGGCGGCAGGGGCGCUCUCCGUCCGUUCGACCGCCGCUCCGCGUCACUGCCUGCAGUGGCCGGGGUAGGCGUGCCGUUCGGGCGGGAGGUCGUCCACUCCUUGCGCUCUGGCCGCUUGGCUAGACGUCGGCAGCAUUCGA
rnacentral:rRNA from 1 species